GAUGAACGCUGGCGGUAUGCUUAACACACGCAAGUCGAACGGACUCUUCGGAGUUAGUGGCGGACGGGUGAGUAACGCGUGAGAAUCUGGCUUUGGGUUCGGGACAACCACUGGAAACGGUGGCUAAUACCGGAUGUGCCGAGAGGUAAAAGAGAAAUUGCCUGAAGAUGAGCUCGCGUCUGAUUAGCUAGUUGGUGAGGUAAAGGCUCACCAAGGCAGCGAUCAGUAGCUGAUCUGAGAGGAUGACCAGCCACACUGGGACUGGGACACGGCCCAGACGCCUACGGGAGGAAGCAGUGGGGGAUUUUCCGAAAAGGGCGAAAGCCUGACGGAGCAAUACCGCGUGAGAGAAGAAGGCUCUUGGGGUGUAAAACUCUUUUCUUAGGGAAGAACAAAAUGACGGUACCUAAGGAAUCAGCAUCGGCUAACUCCGUG
rnacentral:rRNA from 1 species